rnacentral:lncRNA from 1 species
ACUCCUCCGUCUCGCUGUACCCACUGUCAGCCCUGUCACCAUACGGAUCCGAGCUUGAAGGUUGGCUGUAGCUAUACCUUCCCAUAGAUACUAAACCUGCACAAACAAUUAGAUGGCCAAGGUUAAUGAACGAUGAGAACAGAAAUACAAACCAGACAACAAACACAAAGCAUUUAUACCAAGAUUGCAACCAGAGAACAAACAGACAUACAUUGAUCUUCAACACAUACAUUAAUAAAACACAGACAUAUAUUAA